GUCAGGAUUUUGUUUCCGUUAACCAUUUCAGUCAUGGGAGAUUUGGUUUAUGUGGCUCUCCAUCGAUGGAAUGCCGAUGAAUGCACAUAUGAACAUACAUACAUAGUUCUGUUUUGCUUUAGAAUUCAGUGUCAGGUACCAUCCCUCCAUGAGGUUUUAUCCAGUGUCUUUCUCUUUCCUUAAUAAUUGUUGCACUUUUGAUUGAAGAAAACUCUAUGGAGGUUGCUGAUUUGGAGCUCAGCUAGGGAUGCUCUAAAUUUCAUGGUUGUUGCUUGAUGUGGAAUAUGCAACUGGAACCGGCGACCAGCCCUUCCUCGCCCUCAGCCUCAACACCACCACUGACGCCUCCAGGAGCAGUGGGGCAUCACCGGUGGCGCCGGCAAGGCAAUGGUUGUGGUUAGGCUUUAGUGCCAGGUUCCUCACAGUUGUAGCUGUUGGGGAACACUGCUAUGCUCGCUGUCCGGUGGUGGGGUUUGGGCAUGCCACUGGUGCUCCUUCGGAUUGGCAUCGAUGCCUCCACGCUCGGAGUCUGCUGUAUCUACGGGUUCCUAGGUGUUGUCAUAUGCUCCAGAUUUUAUAUGGCCCAUUGUAUAAGAUGCAGUUUGGAUUAUUAAUCUGGAACAACUAUAUCAUGGAGGUGUUGUUUAAGGUUCCCUUGCUAAUUUUAUCUUAAGCUGCAGUUCUGCAUCUUUGGUUCAACGCUGCAUCGCUCAGUUCGUUUGCUUGGUUCCUUUGCUCGGCGCAGGAGGUUAGGAGACCAUCAACC